rnacentral:rRNA from 1 species
UACGUAGGGGGCAAGCGUUGUCCGGAAUCAUUGGGCGUAAAGAGCGUGUAGGCGGCCCGGUAAGUCCGCUGUGAAAGUCGGGGGCUCAACCCUCGAAUGCCGGUGGAUACUGUCGGGCUAGAGUGCGGCAGAGGAGACUGGAAUUCCUGGUGUAGCAGUGAAAUGCGUAGAUAUCAGGAGGAAUACCGAUGGCGAAGGCAGGUCUCUGGGCUGACACUGACGCUCAUGCACGAAAGCGUGGGGAGCAAACAGG